UUAAGCGACUAAGCGUACACGGUGGAUGCCCUGGCAGUCAGAGGCGAUGAAGGGCGUGCUAAUCUGCGAUAAGCGCCGGUAAGGUGAUAUGAACCGUUAUAACCGGCGAUACCCGAAUGGGGAAACCCAGUGUGAUUCGUCACACUAUCAUUAACUGAAUCCAUAGGUUAAUGAGGCGAACCGGGGGAACUGAAACAUCUAAGUACCCCGAGGAAAAGAAAUCAACCGAGAUUCCCCCAGUAGCGGCGAGCGAACGGGGAGGAGCCCAGAGCCUGAAUCAGCAUGUGUGUUAGUGGAAGCGUCUGGAAAGGCGCGCGAUACAGGGUGACAGCCCCGUACACAAAAGCGCAUGUGCUGUGAGCUCGAUGAGUAGGGCGGGACACGUGGUAUCCUGUCUGAAUAUGGGGGGACCAUCCUCCAAGGCUAAAUACUCCUGACUGACCGAUAGUGAACCAGUACCGUGAGGGAAAGGCGAAAAGAACCCCGGCGAGGGGAGUGAAAAAGAACCUGAAACCGUGUACGUACAAGCAGUGGGAGCNGUGACUGCGUACCUUUUGUAUAAUGGGUCAGCGACUUAUAUUCUGUAGCAAGGUUAACCGAAUAGGGGAGCCGGAGGGAAACCGAGUCUUAAUUGGGCGUUAAGUUGCAGGGUAUAGACCCGAAACCCGGUGAUCUAGCCAUGGGCAGGUUGAAGGUUGGGUAACACUAACUGGAGGACCGAACCGACUAAUGUUGAAAAAUUAGCGGAUGACCUGUGGCUGGGGGUGAAAGGCCAAUCAAACCGGGAGAUAGCUGGUUCUCCCCGAAAGCUAUUUAGGUAGCGCCUCGUGAAUUCAUCUCCGGGGGUAGAGCACUGUUUCGGCUAGGGGGCCAUCCCGGCUUACCAACCCGAUGCAAACUGCGAAUACCGGAGAAUGUUAUCACGGGAGACACACGGCGGGUGCUAACGUCCGUCGUGAAGAGGGAAACAACCCAGACCGCCAGCUAAGGUCCCAAAGUCAUGGUUAAGUGGGAAACGAUGUGGGAAGGCCCAGACAGCCAGGAUGUUGGCUUAGAAGCAGCCAUCAUUUAAAGAAAGCGUAAUAGCUCACUGGUCGAGUCGGCCUGCGCGGAAGAUGUAACGGGGCUAAACCAUGCACCGAAGCUGCGGCAGCGACGCUUAUGCGUUGUUGGGUAGGGGAGCGUUCUGUAAGCCUGUGAAGGUGGCCUGUGAGGGUUGCUGGAGGUAUCAGAAGUGCGAAUGCUGACAUAAGUAACGAUAAAGCGGGUGAAAAGCCCGCUCGCCGGAAGACCAAGGGUUCCUGUCCAACGUUAAUCGGGGCAGGGUGAGUCGACCCCUAAGGCGAGGCCGAAAGGCGUAGUCGAUGGGAAACGGGUUAAUAUUCCCGUACUUGGUGUUACUGCGAAGGGGGGACGGAGAAGGCUAUGUUGGCCGGGCGACGGUUGUCCCGGUUUAAGCGUGUAGGUGUGUGUUCCAGGUAAAUCCGGUUCACUUUAACACUGAGGCGUGAUGACGAGGCACUACGGUGCUGAAGCAACAAAUGCCCUGCUUCCAGGAAAAGCCUCUAAGCAUCAGGUAACAUCAAAUCGUACCCCAAACCGACACAGGUGGUCAGGUAGAGAAUACCAAGGCGCUUGAGAGAACUCGGGUGAAGGAACUAGGCAAAAUGGUGCCGUAACUUCGGGAGAAGGCACGCUGANUCAGUCGAAGAUACCAGCUGGCUGCAACUGUUUAUUAAAAACACAGCACUGUGCAAACACGAAAGUGGACGUAUACGGUGUGACGCCUGCCCGGUGCCGGAAGGUUAAUUGAUGGGGUCAGCGCAAGCGAAGCUCCUGAUCGAAGCCCCGGUAAACGGCGGCCGUAACUAUAACGGUCCUAAGGUAGCGAAAUUCCUUGUCGGGUAAGUUCCGACCUGCACGAAUGGCGUAAUGAUGGCCAGGCUGUCUCCACCCGAGACUCAGUGAAAUUGAACUCGCUGUGAAGAUGCAGUGUACCCGCGGCAAGACGGAAAGACCCCGUGAACCUUUACUAUAGCUUGACACUGAACAUUGAGCCUUGAUGUGUAGGAUAGGUGGGAGGCUUUGAAGCGUGGACGCCAGUCUGCGUGGAGCCGACCUUGAAAUACCACCCUUUAAUGUUUGAUGUUCUAACGUGGACCCGUUACCCGGGUUGCGGACAGUGUCUGGUGGGUAGUUUGACUGGGGCGGUCUCCUCCUAAAGAGUAACGGAGGAGCACGAAGGUUGGCUAAUCCUGGUCGGACAUCAGGAGGUUAGUGCAAUGGCAUAAGCCAGCUUGACUGCGAGCGUGACGGCGCGAGCAGGUGCGAAAGCAGGUCAUAGUGAUCCGGUGGUUCUGAAUGGAAGGGCCAUCGCUCAACGGAUAAAAGGUACUCCGGGGAUAACAGGCUGAUACCGCCCAAGAGUUCAUAUCGACGGCGGUGUUUGGCACCUCGAUGUCGGCUCAUCACAUCCUGGGGCUGAAGUAGGUCCCAAGGGUAUGGCUGUUCGCCAUUUAAAGUGGUACGCGAGCUGGGUUUAGAACGUCGUGAGACAGUUCGGUCCCUAUCUGCCGUGGGCGCUGGAGAACUGAGGGGGGCUGCUCCUAGUACGAGAGGACCGGAGUGGACGCAUCACUGGUGUUCGGGUUGUCAUGCCAAUGGCACUGCCCGGUAGCUAAAUGCGGAAGAGAUAAGUGCUGAAAGCAUCUAAGNGUCUCCUGAAGGAACGUUGAAGACGACGACGUUGAUAGGCCGGGUGUGUAAGCGCAGCGAUGCGUUGAGCUAACCGGUACUAAUGAACCGUGAGGCUUAACCUU
rnacentral:rRNA from 1 species